GCUGAUGGAGAGUACAUUGUUUCUGCAACGCAGAAGAGACUAUCUUGUUAUACAUGUCAAGAAUACCAAAAUCUCAGAUUAGAGAAUCCAUCAAAACUUGCUGAGGAAGUGAAAAAGUCCCACUGUUUUAGAAAAUUUCCAUUACCAUGUUUAAUUUUUUGAUGUAUUGGAAAAUUUCUCCAUUUCAAUUGUAUCUUGAGUUUCAGGCUCUAGAAUUCUGAGCUUCAGCAAUACAGUAAGCAAGUAAUUGAGUUUCAGGACUCUCUCACUCUCUCUCACUGUAAAAUGAUCUCUAUUUCUAUAAACAAUUGGUUCUGGUAUCAUCAUUUUGUAGAUAAAGAAUAUGCAAAAGGUUUUUUUUGAAAGCUGUAACUAAAGACUGUCAGCAAGUAAAAGACCCCUACCAUGCAAUAUGUAAGAGCUGCAUAGAGUGUAGGCAGAAAAAAUAACCAGGGGAAAGCCUAUUUCAUUGCAAAGUCAAUCUAGUCAUCCUAUUGAGAAAAAGUUCAUUUAACCAUCCAAAAAUGUGUAUAUAUUAGAUUAAGCAACAAAACUUUUUCCAA
rnacentral:misc_RNA from 1 species